UCCCUUCUUUCCCUCCCCUUCCCUCUCUCACUCUCCUGCAUUCAAGGAUGGCACAGCGAGCCACUGUGUAUUUAUGUACAUAAUAAGGCAGCUCGUCCCCUCCACUUCAUUUGCAUCAUUACAAUAUCUGUACAAGCACAUCACAUUGUCUGUUGCUUGCACCUUUUGUUACGGUUGCUGUCACAGUCUACGCGACUUGACUUUCAUAUUUUAAAUGAAUUGAUAUUAUACCAACAACACACACUCGCAUUCCAGGCACUGGGAAUCCGGCUCCGGCUGGCUCCCGAGCCGCUCGCUUCUUCCACCGCCUCCAAGGAAGGUGGGGUGAGGGGAGCCACUUUGCAGGAUCAAUUAUUCGUAUAAAUUAUUCCUAUUCGUAUUAAUUUGGUUUCCACUCCCGUGCGAGGGGAAUGUUUGGGGGUUUCUGGAUUUAUAUUUUUCCUUUUUCGUAUUGGCCAGCCUGGCUUUCGUAUAACCUCGUGUUUCUUCUCCCCCCUCUCCCUUCCCAAACUCAGUCUUUCGGGCUAUGCACCUGCAAGUAGGAGAAGCAGCGGAGAAGCUGAAAGAGGCGCAAGCAGCUAUUUCGCCAGGAAUCGUUGUUGUAGCUAGGAAAGUAACGGUAAAACACACAUAGGAAAACCAGCCAGAACGAAUGGGUUUGGAAACGUUUGCGCUCCCCAGCCCCGGCUCUGCAGUCCUCACCUGACGGGUAUUUUGCUCCCGGAAGAGGGAGACGCUGCCGCCAGCCGCGCCUGGGAUCGCCCCUGCACGGAACGACUCCAAACCGAGGGAUCAUCGCUCGGGCGGAAAAACUACGGGAAAAGCGGGGUUUGAAUCCUGCAGAUUGUUCCCCGAGCAGGGACAAACGAGGGCGGCAGCGCCGGGGCUCGGGGGGGCUGAGACCGGCGGAGCGCGGGGCCCCGCUCGCCCGGGCUGUCCCGGGCUGCCCCGGGCCAGGGCCAUCCACCGAGUGCCACCAACGGCAUUGGGGCCGGAGGGGCGCGGGUGCGAUUUGCCCCUCUUUCCCACUGGAGGAGAAGGAUGUUUUCCUCUGCUCUUUAGCUUUCCUACUAAAGAUGUCAUUUGAAAGUCUGGGAGGGAGCGGGGACCGUGCUCUGCUUCUUCCACGGUAACAACCAUAUUCUGCAUAUCGAACAAUACAACAGACAGUGGGAAAAGCUGAAACCCCCCGAAAAAAAAGAGGGGAGAAAAAUUAGAAAAACCCCAACUUUCAAUAUUGAUUAAAAAAAGGGAGAAAAAUUUAAAAGAGAAGAAGCAGCACCAGCAGCAAGGAGAAUAUAAGCUCAGCAGCUCUCCAGGUUUGCUUCCUUAUUAUUACUAUCCAGGGGUAAUUUUUCAUCUCUGCUAGCUAAUCUUUGUUCCUUGUGAAGAUAAUGAAUAGCCCAAUCCUUAUCUCCUGGGCUCCUGGAGGCUGCUGGAGAAUGGGGUUGAACAGGGUUGAAAAUUGGUUCCAAAGUGCUGCUGAAUAAAUGGUGUUCCUUAUCUCUCGCUUCCA
rnacentral:lncRNA from 14 species